UUCCCCUGUGUGGAACAAGAACCAGGUGUUAGUACAGGGUUGUUAAGAACAUCUCAGCUUUCAGCCCCCCUGCCAGCGGAAGCACUUCAGCUCUUGGGCCCGCAGCUCAGCCUGAUGGAGCAGGGAUUUGCCUGCAGCACCCAUCCACAAGGUCUGUCCUUCUGCUGGGCGGCUUCGCAACAAGCGCCAGGCUCUGGAGUCAGUGCACUCCCUUCCCUCUUCUGAAUGUCAGUUCUCAUAGCUCUGUGUCCUUUACUCAUCAGUGCUGAAUUGCUCUUCUCUAACCCCACUUCUCAAUGUUACUAAGUUUAGCUGCUGCUCCAAGGCUUGCCAGAGGGCAAGAGGUUUUUCUUAUGUCAGCACAAUGUUCAGGAAUAAAUACAUCUAUGGUUCAGUUUUGGCAUAGCUAUCCAAAGCUGCUCCCAGACCCAGUAGAUUUAUAAUAAACUCUGCUUACAAGAACUCCAGCUAACAAAGGAGAGGGGAAGAGGUCUGGAUGCUGCCAGCAGAGAGAGCAUGCAGAGUUAGACUGGACAAAGAGAAACCUGGGAAGGAGCUGCAGGCACUGGGAGCAGUUGCUGUAUGUUAUAUGCUCUGGCUGCAGGCAUUCCCAAUUCAAACACCCACAUGGAGGGAUGACCAUGGCUUUGGGUGACUGCAUGGCCAUACUUGGAGCGAGCCCAACCCCUGGGCCAGGGAAGCUCUCGCAAGAUGGGAACCUGUGGCAGGAUGGGGCUGCACAGUCUGGCUGUGGGAUGCAUGGCCCUGAGAGCAUCACUUCUGCAGAGAAAUCCUUUCUGUGACAAGAAGUGAAGAAAACUGACAGAUUCUCUUCUCAAAGAUGGUUUGCCACCCAUCAGUAGCCUUAAGAAACUCCAGCCCCUACAGCUUUUGUAACCAGCUGCCUUCCCUGAUUUUGGUGACAGCGAAGGAAAGACGCAGCUCUGAGCACAGCCAUUCCCCUCUGACAAGAAUCUCCAGCCUAAGCAGGACAUAAACACUUCCUUGCUAUUUUCCACUGGCCAUCAGGGAAGGUCUUCUCAUGACCUGGAGUGGGCGAGGAGAGCGGCUGGCGCAGCGGCCUGAGCGCUGCCCCACACAGCAGCCCUUGUGCUGGGGCCACCCACAGCAUUCCUGCCAGCAUCUGUGUGCUCCAUGAUGCUGCUCUGAACAAUCCCCUCUCCAGCCUCAAACAUCUGGAGAUGUGCUCGGGCCUGGCAAGAGCUUUUUUUGUAGGCAAUGACAGAUCCCUAAGGAGUGUGAUUUCCAAAACCAGAAUCCCUCAUGUUUUGUACAACUCCCACACUAAAUUACCCUUCUGGGCUCUCAGCUGAGCCUAUCGACUGAGGAUCUGCUGCUUUGCUUUGUGAGGUGUGUCUGUUGCCCCGAACCUGCUCUGAGCCCCCGCUGCCCUCAGUACAGCUCAGUGAAGUCAAGAGACUUCUUUCCAACAGCUGUCAGCAAUCUGUUCCCAGGCACUCCCUUCUCUGAGCAAGGGGAUUGAUGCUAAUCUGGCAGCCAAAAGCUGCUUCCCUGUUCUACAGUGAUUUAGAGCUCAAAGGUCACUUCAGAUUUUAAAAAACAUGCUCCAUGUCCUAAUUCUGCUUUUCAUCCAUGCAUAAAGAAACAUCCUUCGCAUCAGGAUGCUGCCUCACUUGCCAGAAACAACUGUGGGAUUCUUAAUUACUCUACUUGCUUUCAUCCCUCACAAAUGCAAGUGGAAACCGUGGUUACACUUGAAUUGAACUGAGGCUUUGGGAGUUCACGUGAAGAGAGACAAGCACUCAGAGAAACUGCAGGUGCUCCCAGAGCCCCAGCAGGAGAUAUGCUUUUUUGUCUCUGCCUGCUCUUUCUGUUUCCACCAGAAAGUUUUCACACCCUCUAGCUGUUUGCAGCACGGACACCAGGCUCUGCCCAGGGCCAGCAGCCCCUGAAUGUGACAGCAACACCACAAGAGCUUUGGGUAGAUGUGGAGACAGCAGGCAAGGUAAGAGUGCAGGGAUGCCAUGUCGAGCUACUGCCUUCUCUGCCCUCAUCUGUCCCCACACUCCCAGGCUGAUUUUCAGGUCCUUCUGAGCGUAUUUGCACGUCAGAAGUUUUAUUUUAACUACCAAAGAGCAGCUUCCUUCCGACUCAACUCCUGCCUGCCAGAGUGCUUCAGCCUGCCUCCCUUCCUCCCUCCCUCCAGCCUGCAGCAGUUUGCUCUCAGGGGUUAUCUGGCUUCAGCAUCUGCCUGACACGGAUACGGCCGCUGACACGCCAUCAGCAGCAGUGCCAGUCCAGAGAUGCAGAGGAUCUACCACCCAUGCUGAAAAGUCACUCCAUAUAAUGAGUAGCAUUCAGAGCUAAAAGCUGGGAUCUAACAACAAUGCUGAGGCAAAUUCUCUCCCUGAGCAGCUAGAAAUCACAAAUUGAUAGGGAAGUCCCACACCCCCACAGCGCAGCUUGUUGCUGCUUCCCUGGACUGGCUCCAGCUCCCAUUCUUGGAAACAACUCCUGGCCACUGGAGGGAAGAAAGUUUUCUCUCCACCCAUCUGACUCUCACUGCUCCCGAAAUGCUUGUUCAGAGUCCUAGUCUGGGAUCUGCAAGACAGGGAGAAGACCACGCAGUGUGACCCUGGGCCAGGGUAGACCAUCACUGGGAUCUUGAUUUUACAAGCUGUUUGUUCAGAUCUGGCAGCAAAAUGCACAUCUUCGCAAAUUCCAGAGAAACAAAUCACAGGAAAGUCAAAAAGACUGUCAUGUAGGCCUCAGAUCCUGAGCUGAUUGAAGACCAUAAUGACUUAAAUCAGUGUUAACUGUUUUUAAAACAAAAGUCUGCUGCAGCAGUCCAAUUCAUGCUGCUUGCCUGGUCCCAGCAGCGUGUGUGUCUGGGACUGCACUAUGCAGCGUCUGUUCCAAGAAGGUAGGCACAGACACCAGGGACAGUGCAGCACUCUGAUCUCUCUCCAGCCAAAGGACAGCUGCUUUCAUUAAUCUGGCAGCUCUGAAUUGGCUCCAUGGUCACUCAGUUCAAGAGUCUGAGAAGCAGCAGCACAGCAGUCACUGCCAGUACUGGUGAGGUUUUACUUGUUCUCUGAACUACUUGCCAUCCUCCCACAAGGAUCCUGUAAUUUAAGCAGCACAAGCACUUGCCUACACUACAACUAGAUACAUUGAUCUAAGCCAGCUGAGAAUUUGUUUGUGAUUAUUCGUUAGUGCUAACUUUACUAAACCACCUAAACCCACACUAGAUCUCAGUCCAAUCUAUGUGCUUGCUCCAGCAGUCUCCAGAAAUCCAUGCUUUGUUAAAAAUUGGUGUAUGAUUGCAUGAGUAUUUUGAUGCAAACCAUCCGAUGGCCAAACAGAAACAUCUUUCAAGAGUCAUUUGGAAAAUCUCUGUAACUGAUUUCUCCUGAAAUCAGCCUCAGGUUUUCCCCUAAUUCUCAUGUCAUUCAGUGUAAACUUUGCUAAUAUGCAUCCAGGUCAAAACUGAGAUGGCUUAAGACAGGGUCAGUUUGUGUGUAUGAAGACAUCAGGAAACCCCCAAGACCUUUCCCUUUCCCCUUCACUACUCCACUUUGCUGUGGCAAUGCCAUACAGUAUUCCCAGAUGUAAACCCCAACUACUUCCAUAAAGCAAGUUGCUCUGCUGUCCUGUGUGCAUGUCUAGACUUGUUCUGCUCCGCCCCUCCAUCUAUAGAAAGCUAUAACAGAACUGGAAGAGAUUCAGGGACAGGAAACCAGGAUCAAAGUUAUGCACUGGCUGUGGAGCAAAAGCCUAAGGACAGAGUAACUAAGUAGACUAGAAACCUUCAGCUUGGAAGACAGUUGAGGGGAAAAUAUGAAACAUCCUGGGAGAUCACAGGAGACAGAAGAUAAUUCAUGGGAAUAGAUGCAACCAUUCAAUGUUCUCUGCUGUUUAACUCCUGGUGCUCUGCAACCUUGCACACCCAAAAUCCAAGAAAACAGUGAUGCAGCUCUGGGACUUCACCUGGAGAUGCAACGGGAGAUGCACCCUUUGAAAAGUAAAAGCAUUUAGUGUUCUCCCAGUAAAUGUUCUCUCAGUAAUUUGUGUCUUUCCAAGUGAUGCCUUCAGAAAUAACAUGUUCAUAUUCCUUUUACAGUCAGUCGCUCAGGUUUUCACAGCAUUCCCAGGGAAUUCACGCUAUAAGCAGAGCAUGGUCUUGCUACUAAGAAGGACCAAGCUAUGCCACAAUAGGCUUUUUUGGUUUUGCCAGUGUUUCCAUGUGUUUUCUGCACAGCCAUAGCCAGGUUCAAAACAAAGUUUCCAACAUCUGUGCCAUAUCCAAAGAAUGAAAUGCUUUUGCCUUUUACCCAGGUGCGUAAGUGCCACCACAAAAGACAGCUUCCUCAGACUAAAUGACAGGACAGGCUCCUUCUCCACCUAUACUAAGAUUUGGCAGAGACAAUGUAAUGAAAUCCACAUGUGUUCAUCCACCAGACUCCAGACCUCCAUUUAGGAAGACAGGCUCUUCCCCCACACUGUAACCUGGCCCUGUGUUUCUGCUUGGCUCCUGCCCAAAGGUCAAAACCUGCGGAUUAGUGGUCACUGUUACAACAUUUGCUUUCCACUUCGGAAUGCAUGAGCGGUGCGUUUUCUUAAGCUGUAUCUUUGAAAUGGCAAAAAAGAAAAGAAAUUAUUGUUGAAUUUUUUUUUAUCUAACAAAAUGAGUAUUUAUCUAAGAAAUACCUGCUGCCAUUUCACAGUGUCUCAUUAAUGAGUAACUUUAUUGCAAGGCAAACACUGUCAUUCUUACAGGAAAGAAGAAACCCCAAGUUUUAGAAGUAACACUUGCAUGUUAAGAGGCGCUGUGAAAGAAGAGCCUCAGUAAAUUCUAGAAUAAUUUGAUUAGGGGUUGAUUAUCUUGAGAAUAAUAAAAGAUGGAAGAUUCUGUAACA